CGUCACCUCCAGGCAGAGGAGCCCCCAUCUCUCAGUCUCUUUCCUUUGAUGCUCUUUAACCCCCCGCCCCUUUCCGUAUCACAUACCCACCUUAGUGUCAGCAGCAUCAGGCGGAUCAAGGAGCCCGGUUUCUAAAGGAAACCUGAACUCUUUUGGCUUUUGUUCUCCUUAAAUUUCUGAGCAUCUAUUUGAAAUCCCCUCCAAGUAACUUGGACGGGAAAGCUGGAUGUGCAUCCCUGAGUAGGGGGAAGGUAAGGACCACGGGAGUCACGCCUUGCCCCUUCUCCUGUCUCCUGUAAGGACACCGAGUCCUCCCCGUUUGCGAGCAGGUCUUUGAGAGUCACAGAGCAGAUGAGGGGAAGGGAGAGGAGCUGCACAGAGACAGACCCAGGCUUCUAUGUUUCAGUGGCAAGAGAGCUCAUCUUUUUUGUAAGCAAAGGAUUACCCACCUUCACCUGCCACUGGGAAGCUGGAGGAAGGAGUGCUUUAAACUGAUGCUACUGAGGCAUGCAUAAUAUCUGAACUUUACUGGUAAGAUGAGUUUUCUGCGAGUGCAAUAAGAAUGUCAUUUAAAGAGAGGUUCUGUUCAUUGGUUUCAAACCAAAUAUUACAAAAGGGRCCAGAAUAUAUUCUUCUCAAUAUCUUAUAUUUAAUAUUUUUCAUCCUGGGAUUUCAGAGUGAUCUAUAAUUGUGAAUUAAGUCUUAAAUACCUGUAUCAGAGGCUUCUGCAUCUAAUCUGAGUCACAGAUGAGUAAACUGAGUCAGAGAGUGAGUGACUUGCUCAAGGUCAUGCAUUAUGUCAGUGAAGAGAGAUAGAAAUAGAAAGCAAUUGUUUCCUCUUUCUAAUCACUGAGCAAUUCUUUUCCAUAAUCUAGAAGUCAGUCUGCCUUUGUUGCCUGCCACUGGUCAGAGCAGCUUCUGGAUGUAGUCUUUCUGAAUCCUUCUCUUCUCCAGUCUUUCACAUACAGCUCAUAUAAGCACUGGCAUUUAAAUAAAGAAUUAAAGUGAUUAUUUUAGCCUUUAGUA
rnacentral:lncRNA from 1 species